CAACUUCACGUAUUUAUAUACGUGUUCAGUUACGUGCGCACACUCCGUGUGUUAAGUUACUCAAUACAUACGAAAGACGAGACAGGACACGGCUUUGCCCGCGGAAGCGUCGCUCUGUCUGGCGCUUGCAUUCAAAACAAUAGAGAGAAAGAAGAACAGGGGUUAACGUAAAGAACUCGUGUCGUCCGUUCGUGAUACCUCGAUCGCGGUGGGUGUCGCGAAUGACUGUGUUCAAGAAGUGUGCGAGAGUCACUACGCGUUGGGUGCCCUACCACAUGCCACUACCACUAUCAUGAUUUCCACUACCAUCGUACUCGGCUGCCAGCACUACCACUAUAGAACCAGUACGCACUACUAAACUCGGCGAAUAUAUAUCGGUAUCAGUGAGUGGCAAGAACGAAAUAAUACGACGAACAUGGGCAUCAAUGUGACACGUCAGACUUUGUAAGAAACGGAAUAUUACGAUGUAAUUCUAUGCAGCUUUUUUACGCCAAUGAUGUAACGUGAUGGAACGAUGGAAAUGGAAAUGUCGCGAUCGUUUUACGAAACCAUUAAGCGACAAAGAGGAAUUCCCGGAUACAUAGAAGAUAAAUAUCCAUGGAAAUAUAUCAAUGAGCAGAAUAUUAUACAUAUACAAUGAAUGGAUUCGACUUCGUUGAUUCACAUGUGUCGAAAUGACGUAGACGUUAAAUGUGUCUAUAUAAUAAAUGGAUGCAAAUCUACCCGUAUGCCCAUCGCAUACGUAAAAACAUACAAACCAGACAUUAAUGCUCCUUCCGUAACGAAAUUUCAAUCGAGACAGACGAUUCAACGCUGCUCCCCCGAAUCUCACUUCGGAUCUAAAAAUAGAACGGCGAAGGGUGUUCUCGAAAGGAAUACGGCUUCUUUUCCUUCUUUUAUUCGGCAGUUCGAACACCAAAGAUCGACUGGAUACAGAUUCGAAACCACGGCAAAGAAGAGAGAGAAAAAAGAAAAAAAAAUGGAAGAGGGAGAAGAAAGAUUCACGGGAGAUGUAUCUCCUCCUCACCGGUCUCUUCUAUUCCACUGGCGGGACUGGCAGCGGCAAACUCGUUACGAAAUAGUCCCUAAGACGGGGUGACUAAUUGCUAAGCGGCUUGUAAAAAUUCGCAGGACAGUCUGUCGACAUCGUGGCGCGGCCGUCUCAUCGUCGCGCCGUUAUACUUUUUGCCCAUGCACGGUUGACUAGAGAAGAGAAUGACCUAGAGGAAGAGAGAUCGAAUGACAGGGGAAAGUGAUAGGAGUGACAAGGAUAGGAGAGGGCUGCGGUGACGAUGGGGCACGAACGGGGUGUGGUGGGGGUGGUGCAACGACGGAUGCGCGAGGAGAGGGAAAGGGAACAGGCGAGAGAAGCAUGUGCGUGUGAGGCCUUAAGGUGAGAAAAGAAAAAUGGCGAAGAGAGGCCGAGGCUGCGUCUCGCGUUCGAAGGCGAGAGGGGACGACGCUUUCGCAGAUUCCACGUGAGAUACCUGCGGCAUUCUUCGUUCUGCAGCAGGGCAUUAAGCCGGAUGCACAUUCGUCGUGGACGACGCUCAGUGAAUUCAUUUCCAAGAAAAAUAUCUUCCGCCACGAAACGAAUUUUACGGCAGAUUGUGUUCGCGAACAGACCGCCUCAGAGAACUCUCACUCCGCUCCUCUCCUUCCUUGAUGUGUGAACGGAGGACACAGAGAUGCGUGUGAUGUUUUUAUUAUUAUUAUUUUUCUUUUCUUCUCCCGUAGACUGUUUCGGAACUGAAAGUUCCAGCUAUAAAGCGUCUAAUCCGGCGAUAAACCGCGUGGUGAUUCUUUUCCGUGACGUUUACACGUCUCUGACACGUUUCGAGUCGCUGAUGCGCACCGAAUCGAAAAUAAUCUUGUGCGCAUACAUGUCUCAUAUUUGAUUGGUAGCCUCAAGCGACAGUUAUGAGAGGAAAAGUUCUUAUGAUUCUUCUAGUUUACCUAUUACAAUUUAUGAGAGAAAUAUAAUUGUUCCAAAUGAAUGAUAAAAUAGAAAAAUAAAUAUCGUAAGGAAAUUUUUUCCGACUUAUAAAAAUAAAUAUAUAUUUAUAAAAAUAAAAGGUAAGUAAAAUGCAUUUAAUAUGAAAAAUAUAAAAAGUAAUUUCAAAAACAUCGUAUCAUGUUUCGAUUUUGUACUUUUGAUAUAGUUUCGAUCUCAAUAUGAUUUCCAAAAUAAAGCUGUAAAAAUACAAGCCGAUGUCAUAAAGAUUCAUAUUUAACGAAUGUUUAUAUUUAUUCUAGUACGCUCAUGUCUGCAUUUAUUAAAAUUGUAUAUACUAUACUUAACCUAUCUAUUAAAAUUUUUAUUGCUAAUUCCUAUUUUUAUGAUCCAUUAUAAAAUUUGUCCAUUUCAAUGUUUAAAAACAAUAAUAGGAUCAAAAGGAAAAUUUUUGUCAACACCCACAAAAGAAAAUUCAAUUGUACAUCGAAAUUCUGAUCAAAAAGUAGUCGAAGAUUCAAACUAUAGAUAUAACGAGAGAAAAAGGAUCACGAUAGCGGUAUGCUGGUAACGUACAAAAGAUCACGAAAUGAUUUAUUUCAAUUUUGUAUCGUGGCCGGUUGGAUUCUGUCGCCCAUGGUGGCGCUCGAGAAAUGAUCAUUGCGCGGACCACACACCGAAUAAAAUAAAAAAAAGUUCGAUUAUAAGUUUCGAGAAAUGAUUAAGUAUUCAUUUACUUUAUAAUCAAAUUCUAAUUUUUCUAAUAUUUUUUUUUUAUUUAAAAUAUUUAUUUUUUAAUUAAAAAGAUAAAAUAUUCUUCGAAAAAUAGAUUGAAAAUGUGCAUGAAAAAUAAGAAAUAUGUUGUAAAUAAAUUAAGCCGUAAAACUAAACGUAAAUUAUUAAUGUUAUUAAUAUUACUUUUUUUAUUAAAAUUAGGUUCAUACAGGAAAAUAAUAAAAAAGGAAGCAAGAUAUAAAAAUAAGAAAAAAGAUGGAAGAACAAAUGUAAAAGAAUAAUUUAAAUAAUUAUUUAUGAGACACGGUUAUGACAAAUUUAAUAGAUUUUUGGCAAAAUUUAAGGUGGACUAAGGAAGAAGAAUCGAGAUAGAAAAGGAAUAAAAAAAAAGAGCACAGAAGGAAGAAAAAUAUUUCUAUUCAACUUUCGAUGAGCGGAUGUAACGCUUUGUAGAGAACCUUCUGCUGUCCUUUCUAACAAUGAUAUUUCUCCUCGCGGCCAGUCUUAGAACUGAGAAAUAAAGUCAAGCCAUUGCUCGCUUAUAACGUGUUGAAGACACACAAUGCUUAUUGUCGACUCGUCGUGGAAUGCGAAGAGCGAGAUAUUGUCGACACAUGCCAAAUGUGGACCCCUUCGUUUUUGACUACAUACCAACAUUUAUGCUAAGUAUUAUUUCGUCCCUUUUUCUUUAUAAUUUAUUUUUUAUCAAUUGGUAUAAAAAGAAUAUUAAUUUAUAUUUGAGAAAAUAAUAUGAUCUUAUCGUUUAAUUUCAAUAUUACUGAAAAAUAUAAAUAUUGAUAAAUAUAAUUAUUAACUAUUGAUAAAUAUAUUAUAUUAUAUAUGAUUAUAAUUUAUUUAUUAAUUAAUUUUUAUCAAAUAUAUUUUAUUAAAUAUAAUUAUCAA